GAUGAACGCUAGCGGCAGGCUUAAUACAUGCAAGUCGAGGGGCAGCAUGACUGUAGCAAUACAGUUGAUGGCGACCGGCAAACGGGUGCGGAACACGUACAGAACCUUCCUUUAAGUGGUGAAUAGCCCAGAGAAAUUUGGAUUAAUACACCGUAACAUAUAGAGUUGGCAUCAAUUUUAUAUUGUAGCUCCGGCGCUUAAAGAUGGCUGUGCGGCUGAUUAGGUAGUUGGCGGGGUAACGGCCCACCAAGCCUACGAUCAGUAACUGGUGUGAGAGCACGACCAGUCACACGGGAACUGAGACACGGGCCCGACUCCUACGGGAGGCAGCAGUAAGGAAUAUUGGUCAAUGGACGCAAGUCUGAACCAGCCAUGCCGCGUGGAGGAUGAAGGUCCUCUGGAUUGUAAACUUCUUUUCUCUGGGGCGAAAACCUCCCAUUCUUGGGAGCUUGACAGUACCAGAGGAAUAAGCACCGGCUAACUCCGUGCCAGCCGCCGCGGUAACAC
rnacentral:rRNA from 1 species